CGGAUAAAAGCUACCCUGGGGAUAACAGGCUUAUCUCCCCCAAGAGUCCACAUCGACGGGGAGGUUUGGCACCUCGAUGUCGGCUCAUCACAUCCUGGGGCUGUAGUAGGUCCCAAGGGUUGGGCUGUUCGCCCAUUAAAGUGGUACGCGAGCUGGGUUCAGAACGUCGUGAGACAGUUCGGUCCCUAUCCGUCGCAGGCGUAGGAAAUUUGAGAAGACCUGUCCUUAGUACGAGAGGACCGGGAUGGACGUACCUCUGGUGUACCAGUUGUCCUGCCAAGGGCAUGGCUGGGUAGCUAUGUACGGAAUGGAUAAGCGCUGAAAGCAUCUAAGCGCGAAGCCAACUUCAAGAUAAGAUUUCCCACCGCAAGGGUAAGACCCCAGAAAGACUAUCUGGUUGAUAGGUCGAAGGUGUAAGUGCAGCAAUGUAUUUAGCUUAUCGAUACUAAUAGGUCGAGGACUUGACCAAU
rnacentral:rRNA from 1 species